GAUGAACGCUGGCGGCGUGCCUAAUACAUGCAAGUCGAGCGAACAGACGAGGAGCUUGCUCCUCUGACGUUAGCGGCGGACGGGUGAGUAACACGUGGAUAACCUACCUAUAAGACUGGGAUAACUUCGGGAAACCGGAGCUAAUACCGGAGAAUAUAUUGAACCGCAUGGUUCAAUAGUGAAAGACGGUUUUGCUGGCACUUAUAGAUGGAUCCGCGCCGCAUUAGCUAGUUGGUAAGGUAACGGCUUACCAAGGCAACGAUGCGUAGCCGACCGGAGAGGGUGAUCGGCCACACUGGAACUGAGACACGGUCCAGACUCCUACGGGAGGCAGCAGUAGGGAAUCUUCCGCAAUGGGCGAAAGCCUGACGGAGCAACGCCGCGUGAGUGAUGAAGGUCUUCGGAUCGUAAAACUCUGUUAUUAGGGAAGAACAAAUGUGUAAGUAACUAUGCACGUCUUGACGGUACCUAAUCAGAAAGCCACGGCUAACUACGUG
rnacentral:rRNA from 1 species